AGAGAGAGAAAAUGAACGAAGAGGUUGGUGACACGGUGACACAGCUUGCAGCUUCACUCGAUGUGGGGGAGAACAACACUGGCCCAGGUCUUCUGCAGAGAGAUUUGCUGUACACAAGGGGAUAGAUGCUCAUCAGUGGCUGCAGUUCAAACCCCUCACAGCAGAGGGAAUGACUGAUCCUACUAAAGGAAAUGGUAAAAUUUGCAAAGGUGUGGAUUCCUCCAGGGGUUUUCAGACCAGAUUGGCCCAACAGGAGGGGCAUUUGUGUAACACGUGUUAAAGAAAUUCCCUCAUGACUGAGGCAGUGCAAGAUGCUGCUGCCCCAUCAGCUCUUCCAUUCCUCAGCCCACUGCAAACGGCGUGGCUUCCCUGGCUUGCUUUUCCUGCAGAAGUGGUGAUGGCCUGCAACACAUAUCUUGGUCUUUCAAGAAGAACUUUUGGAAUUUCCAUGGAGACGCAGUAGCAGGUGGCAAGCUGCCCACAGGAGGGAGUUGGCACCAGAUGUUCAUCCAGAACCACUGUGGUCAAUUAACCGUGAAUUAAGAAGGAUUUACAUGAUAGUCUGUUAGAGCUGUUUAAGAGUUCUAAGAGUGUGCUCAGUAAUCCAGUUACAAAAAUAUGCCAAAACAUGUGCUUGAUAAAAGACUGUAACUGGUUUAAAAUAUGAUUGUGGGCUAUUGCACAAAGGAGAAACAGAAACUUAACUAUUCACAGACGUUGAAUGUGCUUGACUUUACCACACAUUACAGUGAUUUAUACAAGACAUAAAGAACAAUUGUCAAAAGUAUGGAAGAAAAAUUCAAAGCCAUAAGCAAAGCCAUUCAUUCUGAAUGGUGAAAUGUUAAUGCAGGGGAAGAGAAACAUCAGUGCUGCAAAUGGAAAGGGACCAUUCAGCAAACUAAACUCUUCACUGGAAAGAAAAAUCCCACAGGAUAAGAAUUAUCCGCUGGCUUUGAAAUAACCUCCAAAUUAACAGCUGUUUUCCUAGCAUCACAAUGUCACACGUUUUUCCAAGAAAAAAAUCUCUUAUGAUUUUUAUGUUCAUGUGUGGGUCAAAAUAAAACCCUGUGGCAGAUAGAAAAAGAUGCCUUGGGAGAAUAAAAGGUUAUAAUUCAGUGAAGGUUUCCUAAUGGCACUGCAUGCCCACCACCAUGGGAAUAGAGCGCUGAGACUGAGUUAGUGCCUGAAGAUCUUGUGCAAAA